rnacentral:rRNA from 1 species
AGCUCUCCGAGUGGUAGGGGUGAUUAUUGGGCUUAAAGCGUCCGUAGCCGGCCUGGCAAGUCUUCCGUUAAAUCCAGCGACUUAAUUGUUGGGCUGCGGGAGAUACUGUUAGGCUAGGGGGCGGGAGAGGCCGACGGUAUUCUCGGGGUAGGGGUGAAAUCUUAUAAUCCCGGGAGGACCACCAGUGGCGAAGGCUGUCGGCUAGCACGCGCCUGACGGUGAGGGACGAAAGCUGGGGGAGCGAACCGGAUUAGAUACC